rnacentral:rRNA from 1 species
GAUGAACGCUGGCGGCGUGCUUAACACAUGCAAGUCGAACGGAAAGGCUCCUGCUUGCAGGGGUACUCGAGUGGCGAACGGGUGAGCAACACGUGGGUGAUCUGCCCUGCACUUCGGGAUAAGCCUGGGAAACUGGGUCUAAUACCGGAUAGGACGAUGGUUUGGAUGCCAUUGUGGAAAGUUUUUUCGGUGUGGGAUGAGCUCGCGGCCUAUCAGCUUGUUGGUGGGGUAAUGGCCUACCAAGGCGUCGACGGGUAGCCGGCCUGAGAGGGUGUACGGCCACCAUGGGACUGCGAGACGGACCAGACUCCUACGGGAGGCAGCAGUGGGGAAUAUUGCACAAUGGGCGCAAGCCUGAUGCAGCGACGCCGCGUGGGGGAUGACGGCCUUCGGGUUGUAAACUCCUUUCGCUAGGGACGAAGCGCAAGUGACGGUACCUGGAGAAGAAGCACCGGCUAACUACGUG